AGCCUGUAAGAAAGGUAAAUCUGUCUCCUGAACUUAAAGGGCCUUUGCUCUAAAGUAAGUUUGACAUUGGCCAAUAAUCACCCUGACAUUCCUGUGGCUUUGGCUGCUCUUGGAGCUGCUGAAUGGCACCAAGAGAAGAGGCUGAGUGAGAAAGCCUGCUUAUAGCAAUGGCCCAUCCCGUUGGUGCUGGGAGGGGGUGCUAUACUCAAAGUGGCAUAAACAGAGAAUCUGCAGAUUGUGCUCUGCUAUGCUGGCUGCCUUUGGGUUGGUUGUUGAGAAAGUUCUUGAAGCCAGUGGUGUUAUAGGGGACAGUGUGCUUUUUGGAACAAAGAAGUUAAUAGUGAGAAUGGUCUUUGAAAACUGUAUGCUUUGCGAAGGUAAACUCUGUAAACUGGGCCUACUGAAAGAAAUAGGGCUUCUCUUUUCAUUACCAUUUUGUCAUCAAAAUACCUUGAGGUCUGGCCCUUAGUAAAUGGUACUUAAAUAUCUGAUACCACUAGAAGCUUUCUUCUGUGAAGGGUGAUCACCAUCCCAGUUUGGAUGGGACAGUCUUAGUUGAUACUGUGGUCCUUGCAUCCUAUUCAGCUGGUACAUAUCCAAGUCUAUUAAUUUUUAUUCAUGUAUUAUUAUUAAUAGUUGUAUAAAAAUAAGUCAGAAUAAGUUUGGUAGACCUCUAUUUUAUUUCCAGUUCUUCUUCUUUUCUUACUGGUAGUAGGUAUAAGACAUAUACACACAGAAAGAUAAUCAGCAGUAACCUAUCUCUCUCUUAAGUUUUUUGAAGACUUUUCCAGAUUCAAGAAGACUGAGCAAGGCACUUAGGUAUGAAUAACAAAUUCCUUUUUUCUUGGAGAUGGUGGAAGAAGUAUUAGUUGCUGCUCCCCUUAGUAUAACAGCCAGUUUUGUUGUAGCCUGUGAGGCCUGCAAGAUAUACAAAACCAACCAGGAUCCUAGAAGAGUCAUUGGGAAAUGUAGAAUAUAUAGCUAAGUAAAUACCAUCACAUAUUUGUGAAAGAUAGAGACUGAGCGGUCCAGUCUUAAAAUGUAUAGCAAAGUGGUUUGAAUGCUAUUGUUACAGUGAUGUUGUCAUUUACCAAUUUUAAGUGUAUGGAGAUUUAUCUAUCACAUUAUUUGGCAAUACUUUCUGAAUUUUGCAAUACAUGCAACACUGACCUAAAGAAAUCAAAGUGCAUGUUUAAUUAAAAAAUUAAAAGUAGGGCCGGGCGCGGUGGCUCAAGCCUGUAAUCCCAGCACUUUGGGAGGCCGAGGCGGGUGGAUCACAAGGUCAAGAGAUCGAGACCAUCCUAGUCAACAUGGUGAAACCCCGUCUCUACUAAAAAUACAAAAAAUUAGCUGGGCAUGGUGGCACAUGCCUGUAAUCCCAGCUACUCAGGAGGCUGAGGCAGGAGAAUUGCCUGAACCCAGGAGGCAGAGGUUGCGGUGAGCCGAGAUUGCGCCAUUGCACUCCAGCCUGGGUAACAAGAGCAAAACUCCGUCUCAAAAAAAAAAAAAA